AUUGAACGCUGGCGGCAGGCCUAACACAUGCAAGUCGAGCGAGCGGCGGACGGGUGAGUAAUGUCUGGGAACCUGCCUGAUGGAGGGGGAUAACAACUGGAAACGGUAGCUAAUACCGCAUACCAUCAGAUGUGCCCAGAUGGGAUUAGCUAGUAGGUGGGGUAACGGCUCACCUAGGCGACGCGCCCUAGCUGGUCUGAGAGGAUGACCAGCCACACGGGAACUGGGACACGGUCCAGACUCCUACGGUAGGCAGCAGUGGGGAAUAUUGCACAAUGGGCGAAAGCCUGAUGCAGCAAGGCCGCGUGUGUGAAGAAGGCCUUCGGGUUGUAAAGCACUUUCAGCGGGGAGGCGUUACCCGCAGAAGAAGCACCGGCUAACUCCGUGCCAGCCGCCGCGGUAAUUC
rnacentral:rRNA from 1 species